CUCCCGUUGAUCCUGCCGGACCUGACUGCUAUCGGAUUGAUACUAAGCCAUGCGAGUCAUUGUAGCAAUACAAGGCAGACGGCUCAGUAACGCGUAGUCAAUCUACCCUAUGGACGGGAAUAACCUCGGGAAACUGAGAAUAAUGCCCGAUAGAACAUUAUGCCUGGAAUGGUUUAUGUUUCAAAUGAUUUAUCGCCAUAGGAUGGGACUGCGGCCUAUCAGUUUGUUGGUGAGGUAAUGGCCCACCAAGACUAUUACAGGUACGGGCUCUGAGAGGAGUAGCCCGGAGAUGGGUACUGAGACACGGACCCAGGCCCUAUGGGGCGCAGCAGGCGAGAAAACUUUGCAAUGUGCGAAAGCACGACAAGGUUAAUCCGAGUGGUUUCUGCUAAAGAAACCUUUUGUCAGUCCUAGAAACACUAACGAAUAAGGGGUGGGCAAGUUCUGGUGCCAGCAGCCGCGGUAAU
rnacentral:rRNA from 2 species